rnacentral:rRNA from 1 species
UACGGAGGGGGCUAGCGUUGUUCGGAAUUACUGGGCGUAAAGCGCGCGUAGGCGGCUUUGUAAGUUAGAGGUGAAAGCCCGGAGCUCAACUCCGGAACUGCCUUUAAGACUGCAUCGCUAGAACGUCGGAGAGGUAAGUGGAAUUCCGAGUGUAGAGGUGAAAUUCGUAGAUAUUCGGAAGAACACCAGUGGCGAAGGCGACUUACUGGACGACUGUUGACGCUGAGGUGCGAAAGCGUGGGGAGCGAACAGG